rnacentral:snoRNA from 1 species
AACCUCAUCCAGAUAGAAGGGGCACCACUGAUUGGUGUCCACUACUGGUCAGUGUGACUAAAUCGAGACACAGAUCAUGCUUUAUCACAGUAAACAUUUACAGUGGUUACAUUGAGAUCUGUGACAUUU